CGAGGGCACAAGCCACCACGAGGCCCAAGCCCCGACAACUGUUGUUAUCUCAAAGAUAAAACAAUUGUUGUUAUUGAAUAUAUUUGUUAUAACGAAGAAGAAAGAGCCGUGAUUAUUGGUAGAAAAUUUUUGGCAAAAAAUUCUUUGCGCUUCUAUCCUUGCGAGUCACAAAAUAUGGAUAUAUAUGUGGUUAAAAAUUUAUCGGAUCUAAUGAUGUGGUCAAUUACAGAAAUAAUAAAUAAAGCCGUUCAGCUUCCAUUGAAAGACUUCCUGGUGUUGCAUGCCGUUAUUACAUUCAUCAUUAAAAUAAAAUAAGAAGACAGAAUGUCCUCAUGCUGCUUAUUUUUCGUCGUUUAUAAAUGGCGUUUUACGUUGUGUUAUAUGAUACGUACAGUAUAACAGUACCAACUAAAUGGAUAGACUUUGCGCGAUCUACAUUUAAAAUGCCGAAAAAAUGUAAACAGCUUACUCAAGCUUGCAUGAAAGAAUGGCUACCAUGUGAUGAUUGAGAUGAAUUCAUAUAUCAGAAGAGCUUUGGUCCUUAUGGUUCGUUUUAUACAUGUGUAACCUACAUUAAAAUAUGAAAUGAAAAUAAUAUUCGAAAACAUAUUAUAGAAACGUAUCAAAAUGCACGGUCGGUAGAAAAAGCAAUAAGCGAUAUAUCUGCGUCAGAUGACAAUAUUAUUAGGCAGACACAAACAAAAAAUGCUUCAAAGAAGAGGCUUAUCAAAAAACGAUAAUUCUUUGAUGAUACAUCGAGCGACGAAGAUGAACCAGAGACGAUUACAAUUACAGUGCCCUCCAAUUACAUUUCACCAAUAGAAAGCGGAAAUGUAUCCGAUUCAUUGAGCCAACCGAUUAAUAAAUUAUUAAUUAGUAGUCAGUCAGGUUUAAACAUGCAGAAAACGAUGACACACGAUGAUUGUGAUGAGCAAGAAAAGAAAACUUCAAAAGGUAUAUUUUAAAUUGUUAU